GAUCGCGGCGACGUGGGCGGUCCGCCGUCGGCGACGUCGCGAGAAGUCCACUGAACCUUAUCAUUUAGAGGAAGGAGAAGUCGUAACAAGGUUUCCGUAGGUGAACCUGCGGAAGGAUCAUUGUCGAU
rnacentral:rRNA from 1 species